UUGUGAACCAUCAUGCCGUUCCUAUGUUAUCUCUACGAGGAGCUAAGUGAGAUCUAAUAUAUGUGGAAUUAUGAAAAGAUUUAUCUAUUUCUUCUGUUUAAAAAUCACUUAUUUCAGUACCAGAACCGUGAAUUUUUUGUACCCGUUUGCAAUCACUUCAGUGAGCGUGAUGGCUUAGAUUCCCAAAAGAUGAGAAGCAGAAAGAAAUUGGAACUUUCCUGCUCGAUUCUCGGAUGGAAGAACAUUUCCAAAUUGACAAAUAUCCUUAUUUUUACAGCUUUAUUGCAUGCAUAUCUAAUGUAAAAUUCCCUCAAAAGUUAAAACUAUCUCUCAAAAGUUCUUACUUAAUAUAUUCUUAUUUUCAAGGCCAAACUCCACAGAAUGGAGUAACAACCAUCUUUUUUAAACCUUUCAUACUAAAAAAGGAUUUGUAUGCAGCAUUUUUUCCUUCUAGGUCAUCACAACCGGAGUGUCUGGAGUCAUUGACCUAGCAAUAAGUUUUUCAUAUGAACUGACAUUCGCUUACAGCUUAAGGUGUUUGUAUUGAAAAUGUACAUAUUAUAAAUGUAUGCAAAAAAUAA